GGAUGUGAGGGCGAUCUGGCUGUGACAUCUGUCUUCCCAUUGAUCGCCAGGGUUGAUUUGGUUGAUCUGGCUGGCUAGAUAGGUUUCUCCUUCCUCCUUCACUACCCCAUGUCCUUCCCUGAAUAGAGAUGGACUGGUCUUUGGUAGAUGGUGGAGAAGUAGCUGCGCUCCCCUGCUAGAACCUCCAAAAAGACUCUCAAGGUUUUAUAGACAAGAUAGUGUGCUGUGAGGGAGAAAAUAAAUCAUCCUAUUCCUGGUUGGGAUUUCAGAUGCUGGACAACUAAACAA
ensembl:misc_RNA 7SK 7SK RNA